GACGAACGCUGGCGGCGUGCUUAACACAUGCAAGUCGAACGAAAAGGCCCUGCGUUUGUGGGUUGCUCGAUUGCCGAACGCGUGAGUGACACGUGAGUAACCUGCCCUUAACUUUGUGAGAACUUCAGGAAACUGGGGCUCAUAUCCGAUAGGAGCUCCUGCAGCAUGGGGGUGGUUGGAAAGUUCCGGCGGUUGUGGAUGGACUCGCGGCUUACCCGCUGCUUGGUGGAGUAGGGGCUUACCAAGGCUUUGACGGGUAGCCGGCAUGAGAGGGUGACCGGGCACAUUGGGACUGAGAGACGGACCAGAAUCCGACGGGAGGCAGCAGGCGGGAACAUUGCACAAUGGGGGGAAGCCUGAGGCAGAAACCCCGCGUGCGGGAUGACGGCCUACGGGUGGUAAACAGAUGUCGACUGUGACGAAGCGUGAGUGACGGUAAUGGGUAAAGAAGCACCGGCUAACUACGUG
rnacentral:rRNA from 1 species